rnacentral:rRNA from 1 species
UACAGAGGGGGCAAGCGUUGUUCGGAAUUACUGGGCGUAAAGGGCGCGUAGGCGGCCUGUUAAGUCGGACGUGAAAUCCCCGGGCUCAACCCGGGAACUGCGUCCGAUACUGGCAGGCUUGAAUCCGGGAGAGGGAUGUGGAAUUCCAGGUGUAGCGGUGAAAUGCAUAGAUAUCUGGAGGAACACCGGUGGCGAAGGCGGCAUCCUGGACCGGCAUUGACGCUGAGGCGCGAAAGCCAGGGGAGCAAAGCGGG